AGAGAGAGAGAGAGAGACGAUCGGCUCUCUCCAGCCUCCGGGUCUCAGAAUCGACGGAAGCUCCUCGACGCCGGCCCUACCAACCUCCGCCACCGCCCCCGAAGACAAACAAAUCCACUGAAAACAACAAGAUGAAUAUAAUCGAGUGAAGUCAGCCUCCAAUCUUUCCCUUCCGUUCCCCGUCUUUACCUUUUGGGGAUGGACAUGGCCGGGAGGCGAUCCAACUACUCCCUCCUCAGCCAGUCCCCCGACGACUCUUCGCCACCGCCCAAGUUCGAGUCACCGCCCACCGACAAGGCCCGCGCCCGCGCCUCCCCCUUCGACUGGUCGAUCGCCCCCGCCGUCGCGCCGCUGCAGCGGCAGUCCAGCGGCAGCAGCUACGGGGAGAGCUCCCUCUCCGGCGGGGACUUCUACGUGCCCGCCACGAUCUCCUCCGCGACCGUAGACGCGGACGCUUUCAGCCGAAUGGCGGCCCGGACGUCUGCCGGAGGGGGCGAGGGCCGGACGAAGGACGGAGCCGUGGCGGAGGCGUCGUCGUUGUUGUCGGCCAAGAGCUGGGCGCAGCAGGCCGAGGAGACGUACCAGCUCCAGCUCGCCCUGGCGCUUCGGCUCUGCUCCGAGGCGGCGUGCGCGGACGACCCCAAUUUCUUGGACGCUUUGGAUCAAACAGUGCUUCCGGAUCGCGUCUCUCCCACGUCCAUCUCCCAUCGCUUCUGGGUAAAUGGAUGCCUAUCAUACCAUGACAAAAUUCCGGAUGGCUUUUAUCUGAUUCAGGGAAUGGAUCCAUUUGUAUGGACUCUAUGUACUGAUGUGGAAGAAGAGAAUCGGAUUCCAUCAGUUGAGUCACUGAAAACUGUUCACCCCUGUGAUUCAUCGAUUGAAGUGGCUCUUGUAGAUAGACAAUAUGAUCCCGAUCUAAGGCAGUUACAAAAUGUGGCAGCUGGCCUUUCAUGCAGCUGUGCCACACCGAAAGAUAUGGUGGAUCAGCUAGCAAACCUUGUCUGCUCCCACAUGGGAGGUACAGCUUUUAAUGAAGAGGAUCUUCUUCAUCGCUGGAAAGAGUGCAGUGAGGCUCUCAAGGCUACUUCAGGUUCUGUUGUGCUUCCAAUUGGGAAGCUAUCAGUUGGUCUCUGCAGGCAUCGUGCAUUGCUUUUUAAGAUGUUGGCAGACACAAUUAAUUUGCCAUGUCGAGUUGCCAAAGGCUGCAAAUAUUGCAAAACUGGUGAUGCUUCCUCAUGUUUGGUGCGCUUUGGUCUUGAAAGGGAAUAUUUAGUUGAUUUGAUUAGGAACCCAGGAAAUCUGUGUGAACCUGAUUCUUUGCUGAAUGGACCGUAUUCCAUUUCAAUAUCUUCACCUUUGCGUCCUCCAAAAGCCAAAUCAACCGAGGUAACUGUGAAUUUUAGAACCUUGGCCAAGCAAUAUCUUCUGGACUGUCAAUCACUUAAUCUCUUCUUCAAUGACGCUUCAGCAGGUGCUGUUGUUGCUCAAGGAGAUGUUGUGGACUUAUCUUCCUCUAGGCCUUUGGAUGAGAAGUCUGUAGAGGUGAUAUCUUCACCACUAGAAGCUACUGGAACUGAACUUUGUGAGCUACCUCUGCCUCACAUUCAAAAGGUUGCUCGGCCAGAGCCAUCAAAAGCUGGACAUAAAGAUGUUCUCCAUAUCAUUCCUCCUGAUCCAAAGGCUGAUAAAAAGGAUUUCAGGCUUAUAAAGGAUUCUAAACAGGGGCAUAAUAGACCUAACAAUGAGAUAAGCCUUGCCAUAGAUGACUUAAAUAUUCCAUGGAGUGAACUGGUCCUGAAGGAGAGGAUAGGAGCAGGUUCUUUUGGAACUGUCCAUCGUGCUGAAUGGCAUGGUUCGGAUGUUGCUGUCAAGAUACUUAUGGAACAAGAUCUCCAUCCUGAGCGCUUAAAAGAGUUCUUAAGAGAGGUUGCUAUAAUGAAAAGCCUAAGGCAUCCUAAUAUAGUUUUGUUCAUGGGUGCUGUUACCGAGCCACGGAACCUAUCUAUUGUCACUGAAUAUUUGUCAAGAGGCAGCUUGUAUCGGCUUUUGCAUAGAAAUGGCGCAAGGGAAGUUCUAGAUGAGAGGCGUAGAUUAAGUAUGGCAUUUGAUGUGGCAAAGGGAAUGAAUUAUCUUCACAAACGCAAUCCUCCUAUCGUUCAUCGAGAUUUGAAGUCUCCAAAUCUUCUCGUUGACAAAAAGUACACAGUGAAAGUUGCUCUUUUAUGACAUGAGAGACCAGGGUUCGAGUCACGGAAACAGAUUCUUUAAAUAUUUAAUGGUAAAGCUGCAUGUAUUGACCUUUUCGAGACACUGUAUUGGCAGGAGCCUUGUGCACUGGGUAAUCCUUUUUUCUUUUUUUCUUUCUUUGAUGAAUCAAUUGCUGAAUGUGGUGUAGGUUUCCUCUUGAAAGGUGUUCCAAAGGCCUUGUAGUUCUAAUAAGUUCCAACAGGUUUGAUCUCUUGCAAAAACCAACUGUGAGAAUGAAUCAAAUUGAUAGUGGAGAAAAUGAAAGAGCGGCAAAUCUGAAUGUGUAAGGUCUUGAAAUAGAAGGAUUUAUUUUUGCAGGUUUGCUUCAUGUGCCAGUAUGGUAUGUGCCUGCUGGUAGAAGCUAACAAUAUAUAAAUGAUCCUUUUUGGCAUUUGGCAAAAGAUGUGUAUUUGCACCAAUGGGUGCAUGAUGCAGGUCUGUGAUUUUGGUCUUUCAAGACUGAAGGCAAACACAUUUCUCUCAUCUAAGUCUCUUGCAGGAACCCCUGAGUGGAUGGCACCGGAAGUACUUCGAGAUGAACCAUCAAACGAGAAGUCUGAUGUUUACAGCUU